UGACAGGUGGUGCAUGGUUGUCGUCAGCUCGUGUCGUGAGAUGUUGGGUUAAGUCCCGCAACGAGCGCAACCCUUGAUCUUAGUUGCCAGCAUUCAGUUGGGCACUCUAAGGUGACCUGCCGGUGACACCGGAGAGGUGCUAUGACGUCAAAUCAUCAUGCCCCUUAUGACCUGGGCUACACACGUGCUACAAUGGAUGGUACAAAGGGCAGCAAAACCGCGAGGUUAAGCGAAUCCCAUACCAUUCUCAGUUCGGGAUUGUAGGCUGCAACUCGCCUACAUGAAGCUGGAAUCGCUAGUAAUCGCGGAUCAGCAUGCCCGCGGUGAAUACGUUCCCGGUCU
rnacentral:rRNA from 1 species